rnacentral:rRNA from 1 species
CAGCAGCCACGGGAAUACAGAGGGUGCGAGCGUUAAUCGGAUUUACUGGGCGUAAAGCGUGCGUAGGCGGCUUCUUAAGUCGGAUGUGAAAUCCCUGAGCUUAACUUAGGAAUUGCAUUCGAUACUGGGAAGCUAGAGUAUGGGAGAGGAUGGUAGAAUUCCAGGUGUAGCGGUGAAAUGCGUAGAGAUCUGGAGGAAUACCGAUGGCGAAGGCAGCCAUCUGGCCUAAUACUGACGCUGAGGUACGAAAGCAUGGGGAGCAAACAGGAUUAGAUACCCGCGUAGUCCCUGUCUCUUAUAC